CAGCCCUCGCGCUCCGCGUCCCCUAAUCCCCGCGGCCCCGGCCGCAAUAUGUGGAUCAAUUCCAUCCGACUCGGUGCCUCGCCGCCCGUCAGAAAGGAAAAAUCAGUGCCUCCCGACCCUUCUCUCGCUGGGCACAGCAACCAUGGCGAUGGAUCUGCAGCGUCCGCAGCCGCUCCACCUCGGGUUCCCUGACCCUUCUUCUCUAGGCUGGGCAGAGCAACCAUGGCGGCGGAUCCGCAGCGUCCACGGCCGCUCCACCUCGGGCAGCGCGGAUCACAGCCAGCGGCCCGAUGGAGGCGGGUACCGGCGCGGUUGCUGUUCUGCCCUGCGCUCCCUCCAUGUCUCCUCCUGCGCCUCCGGUGGCCAGACGCUUCUUCGACUCCGGCCUAGGGGCACCCACAUCGUUGGUGGAUUUAUAUUUCUCAGGUCAGACAGUGUGCAGCCACACAUGGUCAACAUCCAGUUUCAGAAGAAUGUACUGCUGCAGCGCAGGCGAAGUCGAAUGACAAGAACCAGCUAGAUGAGGGCAUCCAUUCGAAACACAUAUCUAAUCUUCUAUGUGUGGGAUCCUUUUUCUGAUCUGAAUUUGUUGUUGGGGCGAGCUUGUUACUCUCUACAUGCAUUUCAAGUUGGAUGAGAGCUACACACUGAGCAAGAUCUCCAUCUGGACUGGCGACGGCUUCCACAAUCUCAAGGCAAUUCCUCUUUUCUGAAGAUAGCAGCGAGGUGCCCAGUAAGAGCACACACGUAUCUCUGAAUUAUAAGUUAUGAUCUGUGCUCUAUGGUGAGAGCACAUAUCAAUUGGUUUUGAACAAUACUCAGGAAAAGGAGGACUAUCAGCAUCUUAUGGAUAUUCAUCAAAUAACAGUACAUCAGCCAAUGUGUAUGUGGUGGUCUAAACCAAAUGUUAGGCACAAAAUGAGGAUUAUGUGCACAGUUGGUCCCUCAACUAACACAAGGGAGAUUAUCUAGGAUUUUGCUGAGGAUGACAUCAAUGUGGCUCGGCUAAUAUGUCACAUGGAGACCAUGCAUCGCACCAGAAAAUUAUUGAAUUGGUGAAAGAGUUGAGACCAUGCUUGUAGACUCUUAUGGACGAGUCAAUUUUAUAAGUCUGGCAUGCGCAUGCAAGCACAUGAUUUUGCUCUAUCAAUAAAUAGUGUAAUCAAACCUUUUUAUGCCGACCCUUCUUUCACCAUAUUCCAACUUAUUUGCUCUGAUAUAAGCUAGAUUUAACAUAUUCAGGGCCCAGAAAUUAGUAUUCAAGAUUUGCCUCAUUGAAAACUGGUCAGGAGUUCACGUUCACAAUAAGCAGUGAUCCUUUCUACUACUUGAGGGAUUGAGCAAAGAUUAUCAACGGUACAGUCAAAGAAGCAACGUUGAACAUGAAAAUAAGGCACUCUGCCAGUGUGCGUGCAUGAUCCAAUAGCAUGUGUUUAAUAGUAGCAGCUUCCUCCAUUUAUGCCAGAAUUUGAUAUACUUACCAAAGUUUUAAGGGGGCCAAUCUUAAGAAGACAUCCCAGUUUGUGCGAGAAUUUCAUACGCAUAUUAGACAAAAGAUGUAUCGGGUUUUCCUUAGGUUGCAUUGCAACACUUCAGUGUCUACUCUUGGUUCUUUUACCAUAAAAUUUGUAAGGUCCCUUAUGUUUGAUUUAUUGUAUAAAUCAUUUGAGACAUGCCCUAAGUAAAACCACAACGUGAUAU